UAAGUUUUCACGCUUUCCAGUUUCGUUGUGUUCUUAUUUUGAUUAGCUUUGCAUUAAUACUUUCUUUUCAUUUAAUUUAAAAUUUUACUUUUAAUAAGAAAUUCAAUUUCAAAUAAUUACCACUUCCAUUCCAAUAGCAUGUCGAAAAACAAUGACUUCAACAUAAAGAGUAAUUACUUUUAUAACAUACACAAAAAAUUACCCACAACCAAAUCCUUCUGAACCUAAAUAUUACAAACCACAAAUAACACACCAAAUACGAAAUCAAACUUUUUGUAAAAAGAAACAAUAUGAAGACCAUUUGAAGCCCUCACAAUAUAACAAUAC
rnacentral:lncRNA from 1 species